AUUCUUGGUCAUUUAGAGGAAGUAAAAGUCGUAACAAGGUUUCCGUAGGUGAACCUGCGGAAGGAUCAUUAUUGAUUGCGAAUCGUUGUCUUCAGUGCUGGCCAGGUCACCCUGGCAAGUGCACGUAGACAGCUUUCAUCCAAUACCCUUGUGAACCUUUGGCCUCUUGCUAGCUUCGGCCAGCAGAGGAUUUUUACACCCACUCGAAUGUAAUGAAAUUAUUGUUGUGCACAUGCACUAAUAUACAACUUUCAACAACGGAUCUCUUGGCUCUCGCAUCGAUGAAGAACGCAGCGAAAUGCGAUAAGUAAUGUGAAUUGCAGAAUUCAGUGAAUCAUCGAAUCUUUGAACGCACCUUGCACCCUUUGGUAUUCCGAAGGGUAUGCUCGUUUGAGUGUCAUUGUACUCUCACACUUCCGAUCGUUUGGAUCGGGAGCGGUGGACUUGGGUGUUGCUGCUUUACUGUGGCUCACCUUAAAUGCAUUAGUGCAACUUUCGGUUGGACAUAGUACGGCGUGAUAAGUAUCUUCGCCGGCACCUCACAGAGGGUGGCCGAUCGGGAGCUCUGUGCUUCAAACCGUCUUCGGACAACAACUGACAACUUGACCUCAAAUCGAGUAGGACUACCCGCUGAACUUAAGCAUAUCAAUAAGCGGAGGAAAAGAAACCAA
rnacentral:rRNA from 1 species